ensembl:misc_RNA Y_RNA Y RNA
GGCUGGCCUGAGUGCAGUGGUGUUUACAACGAAUUGAUCACAACCAGUUACAGAUUUCUUUGUUCCUUCUAAACUCCCACUGCUUCACUUGACUAGCCCUAA